rnacentral:rRNA from 1 species
GCGGAGGGAUCAUUACACAAUAAACAUAUGAAGGCUGCACCGCCAACAGGCGGCAAGGCUGGAGUAUUUUAUUACCCUUGUCUUUUGCGCACUUGUUGUUUCCUGGGCGGGUUCGCCCGCCUCCAGGACCACAUGAUAAACCUUUUUUAUGCAGUUGCAAUCAGCGUCAGUACAACAAAUGUAAAUCAUUUACAACUUUCAACAACGGAUCUCUUGGUUCUGGCAUCGAUGAAGAACGCAGCGAAAUGCGAUACGUAGUGUGAAUUGCAGAAUUCAGUGAAUCAUCGAAUCUUUGAACGCACAUUGCGCCCUUUGGUAUUCCAAAGGGCAUGCCUGUUCGAGCGUCAUUUGUACCCUCAAGCUUUGCUUGGUGUUGGGCGUUUUUUGUCUUUGGUUUUGUCCAAAGACUCGCCUUAAAACGAUUGGCAGCCGGCCUACUGGUUUCGCAGCGCAGCACAUUUUUGCGCUUGCAAUCAGCAAAAGAGGACGGCACUCCAUCAAGACUCUAUAUCACUUUUGACCUCGGAUCAGGUAGGGAUACCCG